rnacentral:rRNA from 1 species
UACGGAGGGGGCAAGCGUUGUUCGGAAUUACUGGGCGUAAAGGGCUCGUAGGCGGCCAACUAAGUCGGAUGUGAAAUCCCCAGGCUCAACUUGGGAACUGCAUCCGAUACUGGAUGGCUUGAAUCCGGGAGAGGGAUGCAGAAUUCCAGGUGUAGCGGUGAAAUGCGUAGAUAUCUGGAGGAAUACCGGUGGCGAAGGCGGCAUCCUGGACCGGCAUUGACGCUGAUGAGCGAAAGCUAGGGGAGCAAACGGG